UUCGGUCUAGUGGCGCACGGGUGCGUAACGCGUGGGAAUCUGCCCUUAGGUACGGAAUAACAGUGAGAAAUUACUGCUAAUACCGUAUGAUGUCGAGAGACCAAAGAUUUAUCGCCUAGGGAUGAGCCCGCGUAGGAUUAGCUAGUUGGUGGGGUAAAGGCCUACCAAGGCUACGAUCCUUAGCUGGUCUGAGAGGAUGAUCAGCCACACUGGGACUGAGACACGGCCCAGACUCCUACGGGAGGCAGCAGUGGGGAAUAUUGGACAAUGGGCGAAAGCCUGAUCCAGCAAUGCCGCGUGAGUGAAGAAGGCCUUCGGGUUGUAAAGCUCUUUUACCCGGGAAGAUAAUGACUGUACCGGGAGAAUAAGCUCCGGCUAACUCCGUGCCAGCAGCCGCGGUAAUACGGAGGGAGCUAGCGUUGUUCGGAAUUACUGGGCGUAAAGCGUACGUAGGCGGCUUUGUAAGUCAGAGGUGAAAGCCCACGACUCAAUCGUGGAACUGCCUUUGAGACUGCUUCGCUUGAAGAUGGGAGAGGUUAGUGGAAUUCCGAGUGUAGAGGUGAAAUUCGUAGAUAUUCGGAAGAACACCAGUGGCGAAGGCGGCUAACUGGACCAUUCUUGACGCUGAGGUACGAAAGCGUGGGGAGCAAACAGGA
rnacentral:rRNA from 1 species